CCUUAACCUUCCCCUACUGGUUUCAUAUAAUUUUCUGUAUUUUUUUAUUUUUUAUAAUAAUUCCCUAACAAACUGCGCAUCCCAGAUGUUGUUAUGUAGAAUUGUGUAUAUUACAUUUAAUAUCUAAACGGCAUGUCUCUUAAAUACGGCCCUGCCAUAAUGUAAUAAAGAAAGUGUUUGUGCAGGAUGUGUGUAUGUAAUAUGUUUUAUUCUAACUUGUUCUACCUGCCAAACACAUCGCACUUCCAAUUAAGCUUGCAGACAGAGCACAGUGAUAGGAAAUGACAGGGGAAUGCAUGCUCACCAACUACUGCUGCAUCACAAAAACCCGUGCAAGUGACCAAGCAGUUAGCUGUCAAGUGGAUCUUUCCCAUGAAACCGAGUACUGCCAGAAGCAAGUCUUACUGGCUCAGAUAUCACGCUGUCUGUGAACCUAGCCUCUACAUGCAGAUAUAGGUGGUCUAUUCGUUGAAAUAGCACAAUUUAAGGGGAAAAAAUAUAAAUAAAUGAUCUUACUAUGAAAAACUGGCCAUCAAGUCGUACCCCAAUUUGAUUUUAGUCCAAUGAUGUAAAAUUAUGACUGGUCUGCAUUUGGAGAUGUUACAUAGCAGUAACCAGCUGCUGUAACAUUCCUAUGUUCUUUGCGGUCAUUUGAAAUUAUUAUAGACCAACCAUUAGGUAUGACUUUUAUGUGGACCCCAGUACUAAAACCGUUUCACAAGGAAAGUGCUUUCCUAAAAAUGCAAAUAUUUAAAGUUGCACCGUGCACAUACGAGUCAUUUAAAAUGAUUAAAAUGCUUCUAGUGUCUAGUGUCAUAACUUUGGAACAAAGCUACUGGUCUGUGUCGUGUUGACAUCCGCAAAUAUGGAAUAAAAAAAACAAAACAACAUCAUAUAUGUGAUUCUGGUUAAUGUUAGACGUCAACUAACUCCAAAAUGUUUA